GACGAACGCUGGCGGCGUGCUUAACACAUGCAAGUCGAGCGGUAAGGCCCUUUCGGGGGUACACGAGCGGCGAACGGGUGAGUAACACGUGGGUGACCUGCCCUUAGCUCUGGGAUAAGCCUGGGAAACUGGGUCUAAUACCGGAUAUGACUCCAUAACGCAUGUUGUGGGGUGGAAAGCCUUGUGCGGCUAGGGAUGGGCCCGCGGCCCAUCAGCUUGUUGGUGGGGUGAUGGCCACCAAGGCGACGACGGGUAGCCGGCCUGAGAGGGCGACCGGCCACACUGGGACUGAGACACGGCCCAGACUCCUACGGGAGGCAGCAGUGGGGAAUCUUGCGCAAUGGGCGAAAGCCUGACGCAGCGACGCCGCGUGGGGAU
rnacentral:rRNA from 1 species